CAUCGCUGGGUAGCUAUGUGUGGCAGGGAUAAACGCUGAAAGCAUCUAAGCGUGAAGCCCCCCUCAAGAUGAGAUUUCCCAUUUCUUCGGAAAGUAAGAUCCCUGAAAGAUGAUCAGGUAGAUAGGUUUGGAGUGGAAGUGUAGCGAUACAUGGAGCGGACAAAUACUAAUCGAUCGAGGACUUAACCAAAA
rnacentral:rRNA from 1 species